AUUUGAAGCCCAAAUUUCUUCUUCUUCGAGUCAUCGACGAAUAAAGGCCUCGAUUCGACGUCUUUCUUCUUGCCCGUUGGCGAAGCCUUCCUCUUCUCCUCUCGGGCUCGAACACCUCGGGAACCCUCGAAACCCUAGGAUCCAUGCAUGGGCCAGGGAACCCCGGCGGCAUGGGGGAGCAGGGCCUCCCCGGCGAUCGGAAGCGCGACGGCGAUAAGAAGGACAGGAAGUUCGAGCCGGCGGCCCCGCCGUCCCGCGUCGGCCGGAAGCAGUGCAAGCAGAAGGGUCCCGAGGACGCUGCUCGCCUCCCUGUCGUUACGCUCCUCUCCAAGUGCCGCCUCCGCCUCCUCAAGCUCGAGCGCGUCAAGAACUACCCCUUCAUGGAGGAGGAGUUCGUCGCCAACCAGGAGCGCCUCCGCCCCCAGGAGGAGAAGAACGAGGAGGACCGAUCCAAGGUCGACGACCUCCGGGGGUCGCCGAUGAGCGUUGGGAAUCUAGAGGAGCUCAUUGAUGAGAGAUCCAUGCCAUUGUUUCCUCGUCGGUCGGGCCGGAGUACUACGUUAGCAUCCUGUCCUUUGUCGACAAGGAUCAGCUGGAACCGGGAUGUGCGAUCCUUAUGCAUACCAAGGUCUUAUCUGUUGUUGGGCUUCUUCAUGAUGAAGUUGAUCAUAUGGUUUCUGUUAUGAAAGUUGAAAAAGCUCCUUUGGAAUUGUAUGCUGAUAUUGGUGGCUUAGAUGCACAAAUUCAAGAAAUUUAAAGAAUCAGUUGAACUUCCUUUGACACAUCCAGAGCUGUAUGAAAAUAUUGGAAUUAGACCUCCCAAGGGAGUCAUAUUAUAUGGAGAGCCUGGAACUGGUAAAACUUUACUUGCCAAGGCAGUGGCUAACUCAACAUCAGCAACUUUCUUAUGCAUUGUUGGAAGUGAGCUGAUUCAGAAAUAUUUGGGUGAUGGUCCAAAACUUGUCAGAGAACACUUCAGAGUGGCAGGUGAAUUCUCUCCUUCCAUAGUAUUUAUUGAUGACAUAGAUGCAAUUGGCACCAAAAGAUAUGAUGCUCAUUCUGGUGGUGAGCAUGAGACACAGAGAACCAUGUUGGAGUUGCUGAACUGGUUUGAUGGUUUUGACUUAAGGGGGGAUGUUUAGGUCAUUCUUGUGACCAACAGAAUUGAAAUCCUUGAUCCAGCCUUGCUUCAGCCUGGUUGUAUUGAUAGGAAGAUUGAAUUUCCAUCGCCAGAUAUUAAAACAAGAUGAUGUAUUUUUCAGAUACAUACCUCUAGAAUGACACUGGCGGAUGAUGUCAAUCUUGAAGAGUUUGCAAUGACGAAAGAUGAGUUUUCUGGAGCUGAUAUAAAGGUGAUCUGUACUGAAGCUGGCUUGCUUGCUUUAAGAGAACGCAGGAUGAAGGUAACUCAUGCUGACUUCAAGAAGGCCAAGGAAAAGGUAAUGUUUAAGAAGCAGGAAGGUGUGCCAGAGGGACUUUACAUGUAACUGAUGGUCUUGCCUGUUGAAAAUUAAGGAAAGAACUCAAAACUAGAACUGGCAAUUCAGUAGCAUGAUUGCUUUGACUUCUGGAACACUUGAGGGAAUUGAUGGGAAUCAGAUGGAAUUGGUGAAAUGGAAUAGUGCACUGAUCCGGUAUGCUGUCGUCACAUGAUUUAUCUAGGGUUGCAAGUGAUGAGUAUAAACUGCUGCUAAUGUUGAAACACUGCUCUUUUGAUGUUUUGGCUAAAAUGUAAAGGAGUAACGACUCACUGGCAAUUAUUUUGGCUAAGUUUAACCACACAUGAAUUCUGGAUUGACUGAGAGAAUGAUUCCACGAAUUUGUUAUUGUUAUUUUACUUAUCUUCGACAUAUCAUUGUCUUACCUAUAUUAUAUGUCCACAUGUGAGAAAAAUUUUAGAUAUUUAUGAGAUCAAAUGAUCAAUUAAUUAGCUUACAGGGAACUUGUAGAGGAGCUAACUACUUUUGUCCUUAUAUUCUUGUUUAUUUGGCAAAUAUUUCAGUCUCUCUUUGGUGACUUCAUUUUUUUCUGGCUACUUUAGUCUCUCUUUAUUUAUUUUAUUGUUCUGGCUUCAGGUAAACGUUGCUCAUACUACAUGAUGGUUAAGAGAUUGUCUUACGAGGGAACUGUGAUGUCCCAUCAGAUAGUGUGCCCCUUUAACAUGGAAUUCAGUGAUUGGCUUUUCUUAAUGUUCCCUUUGUUCUCACUUGGGUAUAAGGAUUGUAUUAUAUGUACUUGAAUUCAAUUUUUUUUGCAUUUUUUUAACUAGAGAGUAACUACUUGACGAAUAUCUAAAUGAAUGUUUCUGGGACAUUUAAGCUG